AUGCUCAGUGGCCUCUCGACAAGUUGGCAGCAACAACACGGCCCUGGUCGUCGUCGCCGCUGCCGUAACGGAGCGGUUUGGGUGGCGGAGCCUGAGUUCGCGCCCUCCCGCUCUCCUCGGGAGGCCCUUCCUGCUCUCCCCUAGGCUCCGCGGCCGCCCAGGGGGUGGGAGCGGGUGAGGGGAGCCAGGCGCCCAGCGAGAGAGGCCCCCCGCCGCGGGGCGGCCCGGGAGCUCGAGGCGGUCCUGCCCGCGCGGGCAGCGGCGCGGCGCUGAGGAGGGGCGGCCUGGCCGGGACGCCUCGGGGCGGGGGCCGAGGAGCUCUCCGGGCCGCCGGGGAAAGCUACGGGGCCGGCGCGUCCGCGGACCAGCAGCGGCGGGAGAGCGGACUCCCUCGCCACCGCCCGAGCCCAGGUUAUCCUGAAUACAUGUCUAACAAUUUUCCUUGCAACGUUAGCUGUUGUUUUUCACUGUUUCCAAAGGAUCAAAAUUGCUUCAGAAAUUGGAGACAUAUUUGAUUUAAAAGGAAAAACUUGAACAAAUGGACAAUAUGUCUAUUACGAAUACACCAACAAGUAAUGAUGCCUGUCUGAGCAUUGUGCAUAGUUUGAUGUGCCAUAGACAAGGUGGAGAGAGUGAAACAUUUGCAAAAAGAGCAAUUGAAAGUUUGGUAAAGAAGCUGAAGGAGAAAAAAGAUGAGUUGGAUUCUUUAAUAACAGCUAUAACUACAAAUGGAGCUCAUCCUAGUAAAUGUGUUACCAUACAGAGAACAUUGGAUGGGAGGCUUCAGGUGGCUGGCCGGAAAGGAUUUCCUCAUGUGAUCUAUGCCCGUCUCUGGAGGUGGCCUGAUCUUCACAAAAAUGAACUAAAACAUGUUAAAUAUUGUCAGUAUGCAUUUGACUUAAAAUGUGAUAGUGUCUGUGUGAAUCCAUAUCACUAUGAACGAGUUGUAUCACCUGGAAUUGAUCUCUCAGGAUUAACACUGCAGAGUAAUGCUCCAUCAAGUAUGAUGGUGAAGGAUGAAUAUGUGCAUGACUUUGAGGGACAGCCAUCGUUGUCCACUGAAGGACAUUCAAUUCAAACCAUCCAGCAUCCACCAAGUAAUCGUGCGUCGACGGAGACAUACAGCACCCCAGCUCUGUUAGCCCCAUCUGAGUCUAAUGCUACCAGCACUGCCAACUUUCCCAACAUUCCUGUGGCUUCCACAAGUCAGCCUGCCAGUAUACUGGGGGGCAGCCAUAGUGAAGGACUGUUGCAGAUAGCAUCAGGGCCUCAGCCAGGACAGCAGCAGAAUGGAUUUACUGGUCAGCCAGCUACUUACCAUCAUAACAGCACUACCACCUGGACUGGAAGUAGGACUGCACCAUACACACCUAAUUUGCCUCACCACCAAAACGGCCAUCUUCAGCACCACCCGCCUAUGCCGCCCCAUCCCGGACAUUACUGGCCUGUUCACAAUGAGCUUGCAUUCCAGCCUCCCAUUUCCAAUCAUCCUGCUCCUGAGUAUUGGUGUUCCAUUGCUUACUUUGAAAUGGAUGUUCAGGUAGGAGAGACAUUUAAGGUUCCUUCAAGCUGCCCUAUUGUUACUGUUGAUGGAUACGUGGACCCUUCUGGAGGAGAUCGCUUUUGUUUGGGUCAACUCUCCAAUGUCCACAGGACAGAAGCCAUUGAGAGAGCAAGGUUGCACAUAGGCAAAGGUGUGCAGUUGGAAUGUAAAGGUGAAGGUGAUGUUUGGGUCAGGUGCCUUAGCGACCACGCGGUCUUUGUACAGAGUUACUACUUAGACAGAGAAGCUGGGCGUGCACCUGGAGAUGCUGUUCAUAAGAUCUACCCAAGUGCAUAUAUAAAGGUCUUUGAUUUGCGUCAGUGUCAUCGACAGAUGCAGCAACAGGCGGCCACUGCACAAGCUGCAGCAGCUGCCCAGGCAGCAGCCGUGGCAGGAAACAUCCCUGGCCCGGGAUCAGUAGGUGGAAUAGCUCCAGCUAUCAGGUAAAAUUGAACUGUGUGCCAGGUUUCACACUGAUGGGGAAUUUUUUACUGCAGAGUUAAACUCCUGACUAUAGACUUUUAUGAUGGAAACACGUGGCACCCAUCUUCCACGUCUGAAGGCAUAACUAGUGAUUCAUUCAACCCCUGUUCUUAACCUCUUCAGUGUGGUCUGUCAGCUGCUGCAGGAAUUGGUGUUGAUGACCUUCGUCGCUUAUGCAUACUCAGGAUGAGUUUUGUGAAAGGCUGGGGACCGGAUUACCCAAGACAGAGCAUCAAAGAAACACCUUGCUGGAUUGAAAUUCACUUACACCGGGCCCUCCAGCUCCUAGACGAAGUACUUCACACCAUGCCGAUUGCAGACCCACAGCCUUUAGACUGAGGUCUUUUACCUUUGGGGCCCUUAACCUUAUCAGGAUGGUGGACUACAAAAUACAAUCCUGUUUAUAAUCUGAAGAUAUAUUUCACUUUUGUUCUGCUUUAUCUUUUCAUAAAGGGUUGAAAAUGUGUUUGCUGCCUUGCUCCUAGCAGACAGAAACUGGAUUAAAACAAUUUUUUUUUUCCUGUUCAGAACUUUUCAGGCAUGGCUCAGAGCUUGAAGAUUAGGAGAAACACAUUUUUAUUAAUUCUUCACCUGUUAUGUAUGAAGGAAUCAUUCCAGUGCUAGAAAAUUAGCCCUUUAAAAUGUCUUAGAGCCUUUUAUCUGCAGAACAUCGAUAUGUAUAUCAUUCUACAGAAUAAAUCCAGUAUUGCUGAUUUUAAAGGCAGAGAAGUUCUCAAAGUUAAUUCACCUAUGUUAUUUUGUGUACAAGUUGUUAUUGUUGAACAUACUUCAAAAAUAAUGUGCCACGUGGGUGAGUUAAUUUUACCAAGAGUAACUUUACUCUGUGUUUAAAAAGUAAGUUAAUAAUGUAUUGUAAUCUUUCAUCCAAAAUAUUUUUUGCAAGUUAUAUUACUGAAGAUGAUUUCAAUUCAGAUUGUCUUGCAACUUCAGUUUUAUUUUUGCCAAGGCAAAAAACUCUCUCAUCUGUGUGUAUAUUGAGAAUCCCUUAAAAUUACCAGACAAAAAAAGUCAUUUAAAAUUACAUUUGUUAUUCCUAAUGGAUGACUCUUUAUGAAGAAGUAUACUUUUCCCCUGUUAAACAGUAGUUGUAUUCUUUGUAUUUCUAGGCACAAGGUUGGUUGCUAAGAAGCCUAUAAGAGGAAUUUCCUUUCCUUCAUUCAUAGGGAAAGGUUUUGUAUUUUUUAAAACACUAAAAGCAGUGUCACUCUACGUAAUGUCUCACUGUUCUGCAAAGGCGGCAAUGCUUAAACUAAAUAAUGAAUAAACUGAAUAUUUUGGAAACUGCUAAAUUCUAUGUUAAAUACUGUGCAGAAUAAUGGAAACAUUACAGUUCAUAAUAGGUAGUUUGGAUAUUUUUGUACUUGAUUUGAUGUGACUUUUUUUGGUAUAAUGUUUAAAUCAUGUAUGUUAUGAUAUUGUUUAAAAUUCAGUUUUUGUAUCUUGGGGCAAGACUGCAAACUUUUUUAUAUCUUUUGGUUAUUCUAAGCCCUUUGACAUCAAUGAUCAUAUCAAUUGGCAGUGACUUUGUAUAGAGAAUUUAAGUAGAAAAGUUGCAGAUGUAUUGACUGUACCACAGACACAAUAUGUAUGCUUUUUACCUAGCUGGUAGCAUAAAUAAAACUGAAUCUCAACAUACAAAGUUGAAUUCUAGGUUUGAUUUUUAAGAUUUUUUUUUUCUUUUGCACUUUUGAGUCCAAUCUCAGUGGUGAGGUACCUUCUACUAAAUGACAGGCAACAGCCAGUUCUAUUGGGCAGCUUUGUUUUUUUCCCUCACACUCUACCAGGACUUCCCCAUGGACAUUGUGUAUCAUGUGUAGAGUUGGUUUUUUUUUGAAUUUUUAUUUUACUAUAGCAGAAAUAGGCCUGAUUGUCCACAAGAUGAUAAAUAGAUUGUCUACAGGAUAAACAGUAUGAAAUAAAAUCAAGGAUU